UCUAAUUAAAAUUCGAUUUAUUUUGGUCCUUUAACUUCUUUCUGUUACACAUUUUGGUCCUUUCUGUUAGUUUUAAUUCAAAAACGUUAUGUUUUCUUCAUCUUCUUUUCCUCUUUUUCAUUUUCAUAUGAUCUCCAUCAACCUUCAACAACAAGAAUCCCAUAAAAAUUUCAGAAGAAAAUGAAGAAAACCUAACGUUUUUGAAUUAAAACUAACGAAAAUGACCAAA
rnacentral:lncRNA from 1 species